AGUGAACGCUGGCGGUAGGCCUAACACACGCAAGUCGAACGGCAGCACAGUAAGAGCUUGCUCUUACGGGUGGCGAGUGGCGGACGGGUGAGGAAUACAUCGGAAUCUACUUUUUCGUGGGGGAUAACGUAGGGAAACUUACGCUAAUACCGCAUACGACCUACGGGUGAAAGCAGGGGAUCUUCGGACCUUGCGCGAUUGAAUGAGCCGAUGUCGGAUUAGCUAGUUGGCGGGGUAAAGGCCCACCAAGGCGACGAUCCGUAGCUGGUCUGAGAGGAUGAUCAGCCACACUGGAACUGAGACACGGUCCAGACUCCUACGGGAGGCAGCAGUGGGGAAUAUUGGACAAUGGGCGCAAGCCUGAUCCAGCCAUACCGCGUGGGUGAAGAAGGCCUUCGGGCUGUAAAGCCCUUUUGUUGGGAAAGAAAAGCAGCAGGUUAAUACCCCGCUGUUCUGACGGUACCCAAAGAAUAAGCACCGGCUAACUUCGUG
rnacentral:rRNA from 1 species